UUUACGUACUAUCAGAACACUUACCGCGCAUACUUAUCAAAUUGGGCCCGUUGGCCCAUGAACCCGAUCUUUGGCCCAUUAAGCCCAAAUUAUCAAAAUGUACGAAAUCGCACGUACUGCAGUUUAUUACUUUAGAUUACCAAAUAUACAAACCCAACUAUCUUACGAGCAUUCGCACACUCGCAAAUUCCCAAAAUACCGACUUUUCGGCAUUUCGGCUUUUCGGCUUUUGUCAAUCUGGUCUAUGAGAGGGUGUCAGUUACACACUUGUUUGCGACGGUAUGCUGACGAGAUCCACACACGAACCACCUACAAUUGGAUUACUAACACGUUAAUCUAACUAUUCAAAUACGAACUACGUAUUAACCCCUUACAAUAUUCGGCCAACCACACCUACAGAUCAGAGUAAGCUUAUAAGAAAUCAAUAAGCAACUCAUUAACAAAUUUUUGUCAGUGUUUACCACAUAAUCAUAAUUUCACUGCAAGCUGUCUUCCUAAGCAACAGUCACUAAAUCAUUUAUAAUUGGAGUUACGAAACUCCAAAUCAAGUUCCGUUAAUUUUCCCUGAAAAUAGACUCAUAUAUAUUCUAUCCAUAAAAUUUUCAGAAUUUUUGGUUCAUCCAAUCAAUACCAGAUUUUUCUCAAAGUUUCCCAUGUUUCACUGUUUGACUAAUCUGACCACUCUUCAUUACGAAUCAAAUUUCUCAUUGUAAAGAAUUAAAAAUAUGUUCUUGUUUAUUUCAUUUGAAACUAGACUCAUUAAGCUUUAAUUACAUAAUUUAUUCAGCUUCUAAUUCAUCUCCCACAAUUUAUGGUGAUUUUCCAAAGUCACAUUACUGCUGCUGUCCCAAGCAGAUUUAUUACCAAAUUCACUCUUUCACACAUAACUUGCAUGCAUGUUAUUUAAACAUGUAUAUCACGAAUCAAUUAUCACAUAUCUAUGAAUUUACUUAAGUAUAAUCUCCAUUUCAUCAUUUUAAAGCACAACAUGUUAGCCGAUUUUUCCCUUUAGCAUCUAAGGCACAUGCAUGCUCAUUUGUUUGGCUCAACUUCACCUAUCUUCCAUUUUUCAUCAAAAGAACAUGAAACAACAACCAUUUCCUUCAUUUUAAUUCAUGACUAAAUGCUUACAACACAACUAAAAACCAAAAUAUGCUUCAAGAGUUAAGGUAGAAUCAAGAAGAACUCAUGAACAUCAAGAUAAAAGCAAACUACCAUGAACUUACCUUCAAUUUUCUUCCCCAAGUGACUGAACAUUCAAGAGCUUUCUC
rnacentral:lncRNA from 1 species